rnacentral:lncRNA from 1 species
UUUAGAUUGCUUCAAAAUGUUUGUCCAAAAGAAAUUUGUCCAAAAUUCAGUCAUUAGAUUGCUUCGGUCAGCUUGUACUAAGAAAUACUCACAAUGUUUAUGUACCACAAAGAGAUUGGAACAUAAAAUCCUCUUUAUCAGUAAAUAUUUCUGCAAAAUCACUGGUCUUGAAAAUCUAUCUCCUUUACUUAUACAACGGAAAAUUUAUUUUAUAAGGUGAUGAAAGGUAAUAAAAAUAGUGAAUCUUCAUAAAUUUGUUUUAUACCAUUGUGACAAGCGGGGCCGACGACCAAAGUCUCAAGUGCGAGCGCAAUGUACUCCCCUGUACAACAAGCACAUAAAUCUUAAUCGUCGUCCAUAGCCCAACCAAACCAUGAUUUAUCUGUAACAAUAAUAUAAUAUCAUUCACUUAGGUUUACAUUUGAACUCUCCAUUAUGCAGGAAGACAACAUGAAAAGAAAACGUGGGCCACAUAGCAAGGAAUGUGAGAAACCUGCCAAGGUCGUUAAAACAAAUCAAAUAUGCACUCCAACAAGGUGAUCCAUUACUAAUAUUGACUAUUUUAUAUGUGCUAUACUAGUAAUUUUUAAAAAACAAAGCAAUUCCAGUUAGGCACGCUGAGGUUCCUAAUUGUGUAGCUUCCACGAGAAAAACUAUAUUUUAAUUUUUAUCUUAUUGAUGCAAAUCCAGAGAAUCAGCAAAGAUCACAAGAUCGGAAAGGGUAAUGAAACUUCAAGAAAAGAAAAACAGACAAUCUUCAAUGAUACAUGGAGGUCUGCCAGACUCCGCGGACACACACAAAGGACAACCUUUGCUCCAUGUGAAGUAAGAAAAUCUUCACGAACUUUCUCUCUUAUGCUGUUACGCAUCUUAUCAUCCAUUUGGUUUAAUUAUAAUUCUCAAUUCAAAUGCUAAAAUUUAACAUUAAUGAUGCACAUCAUACAGCAAGAAACAUUAUGUACCUUUCUUAUGCUAUCCACAUCUACUCUGCUAUUUAUGUGCUGAAAUCUUCAAGCGCACUAAUUUAGAAUGGUCCAUCAAAUCUCAAAAAAUGAUAUACGUAUCAAUGAACUAUAGCCAACGCAAAAAAAUGUUAAAGUAACACAAGGAGUAAUAAAUUCAUUCUGCCAGACAAAAAAUAAUCUGUUAUUUAUACUAAUUAGUAUUUAUGUUUAUGCAGGGGAAGUAACUCAACAGAAAAAGCAAAAGAGGCAAGACUACAUAGGAAAAGAAUAAUGCAAACCAAGAGGCUUGCACAACCAUCGACAAAAGAAGGAGAAAUGAUUGGUCAGGCUGGUAAUACUAUGAGGUAAGGAACAAGAAAUUACAAUCAAGCUCUAAAAUUUGGAGUUUCAUAAAUCCGAUAUUUUCUGCUAUGUACGUGUACAGCUCAAAAAGUAAUAAAAUGUCUACUACAUCGAAAUCGGUGAGAAAGAAACAAAGACAACAUUUGUAAGUUAUAUCAACUUUUUAUAGUAUCAACAACACCAGACAUUAAUAAUAUUUCAAUUUAUGCUAAAUCCAAAACUUGAACAGGCAAUCAGAGAGGACUCAUAUGGAAAAUUGGAACUUUGGAAAACCCAAAUGCAAGUGUGAAUGACGCGGUGCAAUUUUCUGGUACGAAGAAAGAACUUCAGGUAGAGCGAAAAGCAUGCCAUCUUUUGGACUAUGCUGCCAACAUGGCAAGGUUGAGUUGCCACCAUUAAGAGAGCCACCGACUUACCUAGCGAAAUUGCUAAGGAAAGACAACGAAAAGAUGUCAAAACAUUGCUUGCAGAAUAUCAGAUUGUACAACUCCAUGUUCGCUUUCACAACAAUGGGAGGAAAAGUAGACAAAGAAAUAAACAAUGGCAAUGGGCCAUAUGUUUUUAGAAUGAAUGGGCAGAACUACCACAGAAUAGGUACUCUAUUGCCUGAAGGUAAAGAUAAACCACGUUGGGCACAACUGUACAUCUAUGACACUGAAAAUGAGGUAAGAAACAGGAUUAAUGCUUCGACAAGGGAAGAUAAAAGGGAGUCAAUAGAUCCUCACAUCGUAGAGGGCCUUAAAAAUAUGUUUGAUCAAGAUAACAUACUUGCAAAAAAAUUCAGAAUGGCAAGGGACAGAUUCGAAGAAGGUGACUAUCAAAACGUGAGAUUAAAACUAAUCAAUAAGCGACAAUCAGAUGGAAGACGAAGUGACAUGCCAUCUGCAUGGGAAGUUGCAGCCUUGAUUGUCAAUGAUGCCACGGAAAGUAGAAAAGGACGGGAUAUCAUUGUUGAGUACAAAAACAUGAAGCCAAGAAGAAUAUCAGAGAACCAUCCAAAAUUCAUGGCUAUGCAGUAUCCACUAUUAUUCCCCUAUGGAGAAGAUGGGUACAGACAAAAUAUACCUUACAUAUUAAAACAAGGUGCAAAAUGUAAGAGAAAGCAUGUAACAAUGUUGGAAUACUAUGCAUAUUGUCUACAACAACGUACUAACCAAUCGAUGCACUUGCUGAUGUGUGAAAAGCUUACAUUGCAGUUCAUUGUGGACGCCCUUGCAUGCAUUUUGCAGUACAGACUGGACUGGAUCAAAAAUCAUCAAGGAAACCUAAGAACGGAAUUAUAUGCUGGCUUACAGGAUGCAAUAGAAAGAGGAGAUACAAGGGCUGACCAAGUAGGAAAAAGGAUACUGCUGCCAUCCACUGUCACAGAUAGUCCUAGAUACAAAGCACAAAACUUCCAAGAUGCUAUGGCAAUAUGUCGGUGGGCUGGAUACCCAGACCUAUUUGUGACAUUCACGUGCAACGCAGCUUGGCCGGAGAUUGAGGCUAUGCUACACGAAGUGGCCCAAACAGCAUACGAAAGGCCUGAUAUUGUUGAUCGAGUAUUCCACAUAAAGCUCAAGGAGUUCAUGAGAGAUAUAAGAGAAAGGGAAUACUUCGGAAAAACACUCGCAAGUAAUAUAUCAUCCUGAAUUUAUCAAACAUAUUAUUUAACUGCAUGAACUAACUGUUAUUUUAUAAAAUUGCAGUUAUAUACACAAUAGAGUUUCAAAAAAGAGGCCUCCCACAUGCCCACAUAGUCAUAUUCCUCGACAAAAAGGAAAAGAAACACAAGUAUCCAGAGCCAUCAGAGGUAGAUAGAGUAACUUGCGCAGAGAUACCAGACAAGGAAAUUGACCCGGAAGGAUAUGCAGCUGUCGAAAACUACAUGAUGCACGGGCUAUGUGGUGCAGCAAACACAAAGUCACCAUGCAUGGUCGACAGCAGAUGCAUAAGAAAGUUCCCAAAAAAUACAACAACAAUACCACUAUCGAUAAAGAUGGAUACCCAGUAUAUAGAAGACGAGACGAUGGAAGAUUCAUACAGAAAGGGGAAGUAAAGUUGGAUAACAGAUACGUAGUCCCAUACAACAGAAAUCUGCUGGUGAAAUAUCAAGCACAUAUAAAUGUCGAGGUGUGCAACAGAUCUUUAUCCAUAAAAUACCUUUUUAAAUACAUAAAUAAAGGUGAUGACCAAGCAACAAUACUAAUAGAAAACGAUGAGAUAAAAAGGUACCUAGAAUGCACAUAUAUAACAGGGAAUGAUGCGUGUUGGAGAAUAUUUCAGUUCGAAAUGCACUUCAGAGAUCCCUGCGUCGAAAGGUUGCCUUUCCACCUGGAAAAUGAGCAGCAAGUAAUUUUCUCAGAUUCUACAGAUUUAACCAAGAUCGUCAGGAAAGAAAGAGUAGGAAUCACUAAAUUUACACAGUGGAUGGAGACAAACAAGAUGUGUGAACAAGCCAGAGAAUUAACAUAUGCAGAAUUCCCGUCAAAAUGGGUGUGGAAAAAGAAAGAGACAAAGUGGAGCAAAAGGAAGAAAGGAAGAUCAGUUGGAAGGAUAUAUUAUGCCCAUCCAGCAAGCGGAGAAAAAUACUAUAUGCGAAUGCUACUUAACGUCAAGAAAGGAUGCACAUGUUUCGAAGACAUAAGAACAGUAAAUGGAGUUGUCCACGCAUCAUACAAAUCUGCUUGUGAAGCACUAAGAUUUCUUGAUGAUGACAAAGAGUGGCUUGAGUGCAUCAAGGAGGCAUCAAAUUGGGCGACUGGCAACCAGCUAAGGCAGCUAUUCACAACAAUUUUAAGCCACUGCGAAGUCACAUGCCCAAAAAAACUGUGGGAAUCAUGCUCGGAGGUAUUAAGUGAAGACAUGGAGUACAAACAGAGAAAAUUAUUGAACUAUCCUACACUAUGCCUCACAGAAUCACAGAAGCAAGGACACGCCUUGGUGGAAAUAGAGAAGCUCAUGAGACAAGCUGGAAGAACACUUAAGGAAUACCCUGGAAUAGAACUUCCUGAAUCUUCGGAAAUAAAGGAACUUGGAAACAAGCUACUCAAUGAAGAAAUUGAUUACAACAAAGAGCAACAAAAUGAAGAGCAUUUGAAGAUCUUUGGUAGUCUCAACUAUGAACAACGUCUUGCAUUUGACUCAAUAAUGGAAUCUGUUGACAAUGAUUUGGGAAAACAAAUUUUUGUGGACCGAUAUGGUGGGACAGGUAAGACAUACCUAUGGAAAGCGAUUACAACAAAGUUGCAUUCUGAAGGGAAGAUAGUACUAGCAGUAGCAUCAUCUGGUAUUGCAACACUACUUCUAGGAGGGAGAACAGCACACUCAAGGUUCCACAUUCCACUAGUCCUUACAGAAGAGUCAACAUGUGACAUUAAACAAGGUUCACACUUGGCAGAACUACUAAAAAAGACAUCGCUAAUACUAUGGGAUGAAGCUCCAAUGGCAAACAAGAUAUGUUUUGAGGCGCUAGAUAGGACUCUAAGGGAUAUAUUAAGACAUAAAAGUGUGAACAGCAGCGACAGGCCAUUCGGUGGCAUGACAAUGGUUCUAGGAGGGGACUUUUGCCAGAUCCUUCCUGUGAUACCGAAGGAAGAAGACACAACAUGGUCACUGCAUCCAUUAAAAGAUCUUACCUUUGGAAGAACUUUCAGGUAAUGAAGCUAACAAAGAACAUGUGGCUCAACUGCACAACAAAUGAUGAAUACGAGAAACAAAAGGUAGCAGAAUUUCUAGAGUGGAUUCUCAAUAUCGGCGAUGGAAAAAAUACAUCAUCAGAAGGUGAGGAAUUGAUAAAAAUACCAAAUGACAUACUUCUCAAGAAAGGAGAUGAUACCAAAAAAAUAGUUGUGGAGAGCAUAUAUCCCAAUUUGCAGGAGAGGUAUCGCCAACGAGAAUACUUAGAAGAAAGAGCAAUAUUAUGUCCAAGAAAUGAAACAGUUCGCGAUAUAAAUGAGUAUAUAAUGGAUCAGAUACAAGGUGAAGUGAAAACUUAUCUAAGCUGUGACACAGUAUGCAAAGCAACUACCUUUAAUGCAGAAACAGAAUUAUUAUAUCCAACGGAAUUCCUGAAUAGCUUACCAUUUCUUGGAAUCCCAAAUCACGAGUUGAAAUUAAAAGUCGGCAUACCUGUUAUGCUACUACGUAAUAUCAACCAAAGUGCUGGCUUAUGCAAUGGUACAAGGAUGACGGUUACUCAGCUUGGAAGAAGAUUCAUUGAAGCACAGAUAAUAACUGGAACCCAUGUGGGAGAAAAGGUAUAUGUUCCAAGAAUAGUGAUGUCACCAACUGAAUCAGCGUGGCCAUUUGUUCUAAAAAGGAGAAAUAUCCUAUAUCAGUUUGCUUUGCUAUGACUAUAAACAAGAGCCAGAGACAAUCUCUAAACAGAGUAGGAUUAUAUCUUCCUAAACAAGUUUUCACACAUGGACAGUUAUACGUAGCCUUCUCAAGAGUAACAAAAAGGGAGGGACUGCGGGUAAUGGUAGACGAUGAAGAUAGCAAUGAGGAUGAUGUAGUUAAGAACAUAGUCUAUACAGAAAUAUUCUAAAGGUAUGAACAAAUAACAUGGAAGGUUUCAUGCCUGGGAGGUCGACCAUGGAAGCCAUUUUCUUGGUACGACAGCUUAUGGAGAGAUAUAGGGAGCAAAAGAAGGACUUGCAUAUGGUGUUCAUUGACUUAGAGAAGGCCUAUGAUAAGAUACCGCGGAAUGUCAUGUGGUGGGCCUUGGAGAAACACAAAGUCCCAGCAAAGUACAUUACCCUCAUCAAGGACAUGUACGAUAAUGUUGUGACAAGUGUUCGAACAAGUGAUGUCGACACUGAUGACUUCCCGAUUAAGAUAGGACUGCAUCAGGGGUCAGCUUUGAGCCCUUAUCUUUUUGCAUUGGUGAUGGAUGAGGUCACAAGGGAUAUACAAGGAGAUAUCCCAUGGUGUAUGCUCUUUGCGGAUGAUGUGGUGCUAGUUGACGAUAGUCGGGCGGGGGUAAAUAGGAAGUUAGAGUUAUGAAGACAAACCUUGGAAUCGAAAGGGUUUAGGCUUAGUAGGACUAAAACCGAGUACAUGAUGUGCGGUUUCAGUACUACUAGGUGUGAGGAGGAGGAGGUUAGCCUUGAUGGUCAGGUGGUACCUCAGAAGGACACCUUUCGGUAUUUGGGGUCAAUACUGCAGGAGGAUGGGGGUAUUGAUGAAGAUGUGAACCAUCGGAUCAAAGCCGGAUGGAUGAAGUGGCGCCAAGCUUCUGGCAUUCUCUGUGACAAGAGAGUGCCACAAAAGCUAAAAGACAAGUUCUACAGGACGGCGGUUCGACCCGCAAUGUUGUAUGGCGCUGAGUGUUGGCGGACUAAAAGGCGACAUGUUCAACAGUUAGGUGUGGCAGAGAUGCGUAUGUUGAGAUGGAUGUGUGGCCACACGAGGAAGGAUCGAGUCCGAAAUGAUGAUAUACGAGAUAGAGUUGGGGUAGCACCAAUUGAAGAGAAGCUUGUCCAACAUCGUCUGAGAUGGUUUGGGAAUAUCCAGCGCAGGUCUCCAGAAGCUCCAGUGCAUAGCGGAUGGCUAAAGCGUGCGGAGAAUGUCAAGAGAGGGCGGUGUAGACCGAAUUUGACAUGGGAGGAGUCCGUUAAGAGAGACCUGAAGGAUUGGGGUAUCACCGAAGAGCUAGCUAUGGACAGGGGUGCAUGGAAGCUUGCUAUCCAUGUGCCAGAGCCAUGAAUUGGUUGCGAGAUCUUAUGGGUUUCACCUCUAGCCUACCCCAACUUGCUUGAGACUAAAGGCUUUGUUGUUAUUGUUGUUGUUGUUGUUGUUGUAUGAACAAAUAAUAUAAUUUCAGCAUGAUGUUUCUUUAACUAGAUGAGGAGUUACUAUUACGUAAGAAUUACAUAUAUAGGAACUUAUUACACUGCAAAAUCUAUUACAAACAAAGUCUGACUUAACUAUGCUAACAUGAUAUGGCGGGUCGAAUAUGGUCUACUACACUGCCAAAGUAAUGCAAACAUGCAUCAACAGGUGGAAAUACUACAUUACUACCAAACAUCAAAAAUCUACAUUAUGUAAUAAUUGAUUAUAUAAGUUUAUUAUUUCAUAAAAACAAAUAGAAAUAGCAUCGGGACGUUGUAAUAUUGCAUAUGUACAAUGCUAUCAGACCUGUUUUCAUAUCCAGCUAUUAUCUAUUAAUUUUUGUACGCGUCAAAACGGUUCAUUACUAUCAAACAUCGACAAAAUAUAUUAUCUAAUGUUUUAUUGUACAAACGUAGUAUUUCAUGCAAACCGACAGUGAAAGCAUGGCGAACUUAUUAUGAUUCAUAUUAAAUGCAAUCAGAUCGGUUUCCAUAUUAAAUUAUUAUAUAUACAAUAUAAUCUGGGAAAUAUUUCAACUAUAGCUAAUCAAAACUGUACAAAUUCUUUGAUAAGUGUGUUGAAAAUUAGUAGGGGUAGGGGGGGUUUAAGACUGCCAAUGCCGGUCCCAAGCCCGGAAAAAAGUGGAGGGGGCCAUAAAAAAAACUAAAACUACACCUCACAUAUUGGAUGUAAUAACGUCUUGUAUUAUGGGACAGAGGGAGUAUUUUGCAUUCACAAAUUACUAUCAUCAACCAAAUAAAAAAAACAGCCAGUAUACAUCAUCAUGCAAUGAAUAUAUAUAAUACUAAUUUGCACAGGUGUGUCUGCUCAAAUAUAUACUUACAAUACUUAUUUUUUAAAUUUUUUUCCGGGAUACUUACAUUACUUAUUACUAUCUACACUGUACCAAAUUAAACACUUAAAUAUCACUUAAAAGAGAAAACUAUGCUAACGUGAUACAAGCGACUGUUGGUACCGCUGAGCGAAUGUGGUUUCUUUUAACAAAUGAAAACGUGAGUUUAAUUCCACUGAAAUAGGAUAACAGUCGCUAAGACAUAUUCCGAAGCAGAGUUUCGUACACAGCGCACCCAACGAGUAGUGCUACCCAAGAAUGGCCAAAAUUAGCCAACCAUAUUUUGAUUGAGCCCACGUAUCUUAAUGUAAGUAAAUAAAAUGACCAUGAAAACAAAUACUACCUACCAAGAACGUUUUAAUGGAUGCGUGCAAUAUAUAAAUACGCUAUAACUUUUUAUAAAUUAAAACAAAAGGUGUGUCUGGAUUGCACGCUGGGGGACGAAAACAACACUAGCAUCCUCAUACUAAAGCUGGAUCCAAGAAAAAUGCAGACCUAUGGGAGAUGAAAUACAUGACCGAAUCAAUUGCACAGAAGACAAUAUCAACGACACCGUGCAGAUCAACAAUCUCACCUCCUCCCUACCGCAACAGAUCCUUGGGCCAUGAUACCCAUCCGCCGCCAUUUACCAACCUACAGGAGGUGUACGAGGAGGAAAACUAGCCGCCGUCGAUGGUCUCCCUGUGGAAGCACCAGCUGCGGGGGUGGACUCAGGUUAGGACCAAAGAAGAUCCGAGCUAUCCAACAGACCAAAUCUACACUGAAAAGAAAAAAAAGGAAGGAAGAAAUGGGAUCGGCCAAGAA